rnacentral:tRNA from 1 species
GGGGCUGUAGCCCGAUUGGUAAGGGGCCUGUCUGUAAAACAGGUGCAUGGCAAGUAGGUUCGACUCCUACCAGCCCCACCA